CUGAUAAACGUGUAGCAAUGACUUGUAACAAUUAUGUCUAACAACACUAGCUAGCUGUCUUGCUACCUACUCAAUAUUCAACUGAUUGCUAAUAGAAUAAAGAUCUCCAUUCAAGUAGAUAGUCCUAACUAGCUAGAUGCCUAUCUGCUUGAUGCUCACUACAUUCAUCAUUCAUAUUAGAAUGGAGAUUUCUAUCGAGCAAGCUUACUACUUGCCCACCCACUGUAUAUUCUAUCACCUACAUAAGUUGCAGCACUUCACUCUGUUUUUGCCUGCAGUUUCCAUAGGCGCUGCAAUGAGGAUCUAGACUCUACAGAUCAUUUGCCCCUAGAAUUUGACAGCACAUUUACCACCUCCAGCAAUAUUCUAUACUGUUUUAAAGAUAUCAAGAAGAAUAGAUUGUGUUAAGAAUAAUAGAUACAUUAUGAGA
rnacentral:sRNA from 1 species